UGAGGAAUAUUGGUCAAUGGCCGAGAGGCUGAACCAGCCAAGUAGCGUGAAGGAUGAAGGUUCUAUGGAUUGUAAACUUCUUUUAUACGGGAAUAACAUCACCUACGUGUAGGUGCCUGCAUGUACCGUAUGAAUAAGCAUCGGCUAACUCCGUGCCAGCAGCCGCGGUAAUACGGAGGAUGCGAGCGUUAUCCGGAUUUAUUGGGUUUAAAGGGAGCGUAGACGGGAUGUUAAGUCAGCUGUGAAAGCCUGCGGCCCAACCGCAGAACUGCAGUUGAUACUGGCGUUCUUGAGUGCGUACGAGGUAUGUGGAAUUCGUGGUGUAGCGGUGAAAUGCUUAGAUAUCACGAAGAACUCCGAUUGCGAAGGCAGCGUACCAGUCCGUAACUGACGUUGAUGCUCGAAAGUGUGGGUAUCAAACAGG
rnacentral:rRNA from 2 species